AGAGUUUGAUCCUGGCUCAGGAUGAACGCUGGCGGCGUGCCUAACACAUGCAAGUCGAGCGAUUUACUUCGGUAAAGAGCGGCGGACGGGUGAGUAACGCGUGGGUAACCUGCCCUGUACACACGGAUAACAUACCGAAAGGUAUGCUAAUACGAGAUAAUAUGCUUUUAUCGCAUGGUAGAAGUAUCAAAGCUUUUGCGGUACAGGAUGGACCCGCGUCUGAUUAGCUAGUUGGUAAGGUAACGGCUUACCAAGGCGACGAUCAGUAGCCGACCUGAGAGGGUGAUCGGCCACAUUGGAACUGAGACACGGUCCAAACUCCUACGGGAGGCAGCAGUGGGGAAUAUUGCACAAUGGGCGAAAGCCUGAUGCAGCAACGCCGCGUGAGCGAUGAAGGCCUUCGGGUCGUAAAGCUCUGUCCUCAAGGAAGAUAAUGACGGUACUUGAGGAGGAAGCCCCGGCUAACUACGUGCCAGCAGCCGCGGU
rnacentral:rRNA from 1 species